rnacentral:rRNA from 1 species
UACGUAGGGUGCAAGCGUUGUCCGGAAUUAUUGGGCGUAAAGAGCUCGUAGGCGGUCUGUCGCGUCGGCUGUGAAAACUCGGGGCUCAACUCCGAGCUUGCAGUCGAUACGGGCAGGCUAGAGUUCGGCAGGGGGAGACUGGAAUUCCUGGUGUAGCGGUGAAAUGCGCAGAUAUCAGGAGGAACACCGGUGGCGAAGGCGGGGUCUCUGGGCCGAUACUGACGCUGAGGAGCGAAAGCGUGGGGAGCGAACGGGG